CUGCGUCCGCACUUGUUUUCAGCCCUGUGCUUUCGCGCUACUACGCGUUGGCUUGGCCCUUGUUCUCGCUAGGCACGCCCUCCUCGCCGCCUACUUCACGCAACUUGCGUACCCGUGCUGCCCGUGCGCGACGUAUAUCUGAAUUGGUUUGUUUACAAUACGGGGCCGGUCGCUAGUGGCCUAGUGCAUAGUGGGCGUCCUACCAGUCCUACUAUCCGUCGAUUGCCAGGAAGGCGAGCAACCUGUCUUCUGCUACCACAGCUGAUCGCAUCAAGUUCCUGAUUACACCAUGAGCUACCCUCCCUAUGCUCCUGCUGAUGGUGGAGCCUACCCACCAGCUCAGGCCUACCCACCGCCUAAUGUGGGUUAUGCACCGCCUAGUCCAGGCUACCAUCAUGGUUACCCUGCUGACCAAGGUUACCCCCCGCCUACUCAAGCAUACCCGCCGCCUGCCCAAGGGUACCCACCACCUGCCCAAGGCUACCCUCCACCUAUGCAGGGUGGUUAUCCGCCAGCUAUGGGCUAUCCACCCCCACAGGGAGACGUUCAGUUCAUGCCAAUGGCUCCAGGGACACCUGUCACACAGCCACCAGUAAUGGGAGGUGGUGGUUACCCCCCUUCAGGCGGAGACAUGGCACCAAUGGGAGUGUCGCCUGGUAUUCCAAGCUGCCCGCCCGGUUUAGAAUACCUCACGACAAUAGAUCAACUGUUGGUGCACCAGAAAGUGGAAAUGCUGGAAGCAUUUCUCGGAUUUGAAACUCAGAACAAGUACACCAUUAAGAACAGCAUGGGCCAGAAGGUCUACAAAGCUGUGGAGGACACUGAUUGUUGCUCCCGAAACUGCUGCGGUCCUAACCGCCCCUUCGACAUCAAGUUCACUGACAAUGCUGGCAAUGAAGUGAUCCAUCUGCAGAGGGAUCUGCGCUGCAGCUCCUGCUGCUUUCCAUGCUGCCUGCAGAAGCUUGAAGUGUCAUCGCCUCCGUACACGCCCAUCGGGUAUGUGAUCCAAGAGUGGAGCAUCUGCAUACCCAAGUUCCGAGUUGAAAACGCAGAGCGGGAGACUGUGCUGAGGAUUGAGGGCCCCUUCUGUACCUGGAGCAUUUGUGGAGACGUCGAAUUCAAGGUGCUGUCAAAGGAUGGCGCUGUAGAAGUCGGCCGCAUCAGCAAGCAGUGGUCGGGGCUGCUGAAAGAGUCGUUCACCGACACGGACAAUUUUGGCAUCAGCUUUCCCAUGGACUUGGAUGUUAAAAUGAAGGCUGUCCUGCUUGGAGCACUUUUCCUUAUUGAUUACAUGUUCUUUGAGAAGGCCGGCAACAAGGAGAGCGACAGGCCUGGCAUGCUGUAGUACAACACUGGGACGCAGACGACGAUGGAAUUGCACGUCCUCCUCGCUUUUGCUGAAUACCACAUGUGGAGCGUGUCUUCGUGCCACCAUUUUGACCAUGUACUGUUAUCGUUCCUGUUUUUUGAAUCUCUCCCUUUUUUUUUAAACGUAUUUCCAAACUACGUUGAAAACGUUUUCGUUGCUCACAGUAUAGUAUAUUUGUUGUCUAGUCUAAAACACAAGCUGACCUUGCAUUUUCGUGCAUUUUUUGAGGGGGUGAUAAUUGUGGCUUUCGACAGCUGGGUGUUCUGCACAGAUUUACGUGCAGUGCGACAUUUCUGUUUGCAAUUUUGUUACUUUCAAAACUGUCGCAUUUUGAGGUAUACAUUUCUCCAUUCUUCCUAGGUUCAGUUACUUUUCACCUAUAACGCACACCUUCAUACUAAAUAUGAUGCAGUAGCAGAGUGUUCAGAUGCACAAGCUAGUCCAAUUACAGCGGUGUUGCGUGGCGUGUGACAUUUCUGUACAAUUCAAGCCAAAAAUGAAAGAUUAGCAAGCUUUGGGAAUGUUUGUUUUUAUGUACUUUGAAGCCAAGCUCGUAUUCUUUGCCUUAUCAUAGAUUUUGGGGCUCAGCAGUGUUGUGAAGUCUCCUUACCAAAGGUUGCUUGAGUUUGGAAUCAUACCAUGCUCAUCACAAGACAAAAAAAAGUAAUAAAUAGGUUACCUUAGUCCAGGUGGUACAAUAGCAUCUAAAUUUAGCCUAGGUUUGCUUAGGCUAGUACUAGUAAAGUGCUGUAAGUACAUUGGGGCCAAAAAUAAAAGGGGAAAGAAGCUAAAUACUAAUGUGAAAAUGCUGUGAGCAGUUAAAUGGUGAAUUAGUUUUAGCAACUUCGAAGCUUGGGAAAGUUUGGCAGAAAAAGUCGCUCAUGUUCUUGCAGUGGGUAUGUCUUAUUAGAAAGAUUAGGCAAAGGAAUUGUAGCUUGACCCAUUGUCAUCUCGUAUCAAGUGCGUAUAUCAGUGUAGCACGUUGCUGAGUAGUUUAUAGUGGAUUGGCAGGCUGAUGAAACCCUUUAGUUUGUGGUGUUGAAUGGUUGCAUGUAUUAUGCAAAGUUGGCGUUCACACUGAAUCCUUACGACAUGCUUCAUUUUGGAGCUGUGUUCUGCCGCGUCAGAGCACAUAUAUUUUUAUUUGUAAGUGCAGGGCAGCAAGGAGCAUUUGCAUCAUAAAUAAAUUUUUGUUUUGUAUCUUUUAUUUCUUUCCUUAAUGUGCAUUUUUUUACACAUGCAAGUCAAGUCAGAAGUAUGCAUCAAUGCCUAAUUUUAGGACUAUAGAAUAAAUAUGCAAAUUUUUGGGUCAGUAUGUAUGGGCACCGUACGGGACCUUCAGUUAGAAUUGAAUUAUACAAAGAAACUGUGCUUGCUAGAAACUGUGCAAUUUUACAGCUCAAUGUAGACAUUUGGUUUGGUAAGCUGUUGAGUAAACUGAAGUUGCAUCAGUUGUGCUCAGUUCCUCUAACUGGGCAAAAAAAGAUCUGUAACAUUUUUAACAAAUAAUAAUUAUAAAACAAUUUCUAGGUCUUUAUGUGCCAAAACCACGAUAUAAUUACGAGGCAUGCCAUAGUGGAGGUUGACCAUCUGGCGUUCUUUAAUGUGCGCUGUCAUUGCACAGUACACCAAGGCCAUACCCAGGAAUUUUUUUCGGGGGGGUGUUUGGGUGUAGAACGGCUAAUUUUCGCAACUAGUGGUCACUGUGAAGGCAUGAAAGUAUUUUAGUGCAACCCGAAAAGUUAAAGCAUGAAAAAAUUUCGGGGGGGGGUGUUAGAACCCCCCUUAGUUACGGCCCUGCAGUACACGGACCUCUAGCAUUUUGCCUCCAUAAAAAUGCGACCACCAUGGCCGGGAUCGAACUCACAACUUUCGGGUCUGCAGCUUGGAACAUUUGUCUGGCUGCAGAACUGGGCUCUGGAGAGUUCCUUGCAGCACAUCAUGCAGAUGCGAAAAGAAAAUAUUAAAAUUGGCAUGUACAAAUGCAAAUUGUUCAAGUUAUGAAAGAUGGAUAUGUGUGCCAGGGAAAAGCAUCUCCUUUGACUUCUAACAUACCUAGUAACAACGCUUGACACAAACUACUAGUACUAAAAAGGCCUUUCGGGGAUGUAGGGAACACUUCCUUAGGGGAAAACUCUGAGCGCAUUGCAAUGCGCUUCGAGUUUUCCCCUAAGUGUGAAACAGCCUGUACAUCCAUGCUUCUAAUGGCGUUGUCAGUAGUGCAGCUACGGUCUUAUUUUGUAGGGUGUUUCCAGAAGACUCUUUCAAUUUUUUGAAGAUCUUUAGUGUUGUUUCGAUAAUGAAAUCUUGUAUGUCACAUAUGUAUGCACCCAGGCAUUGUGAAGUGCAAGCGAAUCAUGCCAGUGCAAUGAGGCGACCGUGUGCAAGCUUUAGAAAGGCAUAAGUGUGCUUGCCUGUAAUCUGCACACGGAAUAGGGGUUUUACAGUGCAAGCUGUUAUGAGGUCACAACAACGGCAGUUUCUUGGUGCCGUAGUUGUCCGCCGUCACCGGGGUCCGUAACCACUAUGACGCUAAUUUAGAAAAAAACAAACAGAACCGAGCAGGAUUCGAAUAUAAAUCAUCCGUGUGGAUUCGAACCCACACCAUCUGCGUGGUAGUCAAGUAUUCUACCGCUGAGCCACGCCUUUGCUUGAAAGUUCCUCGC
rnacentral:misc_RNA from 1 species